GACUUUUCAGAGCAUCUCCAAUGUAAAACUUCAUUUUUUCCUCCAAAAUGAAGUAAAAGUGAAAAUAGAGUAAAAUUGCUCCAAUCCUACUUCAUUUCUCACUCCAUAAUGGAGUGAUGAACAAACAAAAAAUAGAUUACUCCAUUUAUGGAGUAAAUUUCAUUAUAGAGUGAGAUAUGGAGUUGGAUUGAAGCAUUUUUUACUUCAUUUUCAUUUUUACUUCAUUUUAGAGAAAAAAAUGGAGUGGGGAUGGAGAUGCCCUCACAAAUAUUAGUAGUUUGGUAGUCGUAUUUAUGAUAGGACAUUUCUUAUACUACUAAUGGCUUAGUGAAUAGUGAAAUAGAAUAAUGAUAACGUUUCAGAAUUAGUUUCAGUAAAUUUGAUAUUUCAUAAAGUGAGAAGGAACCAUCUGAAGAAAUUUAAUACAGCCAAAAAUCUGACAAAUCAAUCUGGUAAAAAGAAAAGUGGGUUGGCCACAUCCAAAUUUUGCAAUGCGCAUGUCAUGUGUGAAUAACAUUGUCGACCAUGUACGCAUGACCGUCUGUCAAAGUGUAAAUCAAAUGCAGUUUUGAUUUUUAAGACCCACUUGAUGGUUCGACGGGUCUAAUUCACAUUAUGGUCAAUGUUUUUUACAUCUCUUUGGCCCGUGGGUAAGACGUGGAUAAACAUAAAUAUAUUUAGAUUGCGAGUAAAAGAUAACAGUGAAACCAUUCUGGUUUUAUUUAGAAAACCCUGUGACAAAAAAAACAUUUAUGUAACUAUGACCCAGUACAAGCAUAAUACUGAACCAUCCAUAUCCAAGUUUUGUGUAACAAGUCCACCAUAGUACUCUGAGCUAUUGUUAUCUACAGUAGUUUGUACCCAUAUUUUGACUAAGAUCAGUUCAUACGUGCUAAUAUUCCUGGAAAUAUUCACUAUCAAUUUUCCUUUUAGACAAAUACUUUAAAACCAGAUAACCCUAACGUUAAUAAAUUGUGUAUCACAAGCUAUCAUAAUUCAUAACAUCAAACUUUACCCAAAAGAAGAGUUCGCGUCGGUGGACUGGUGGCAAAUUAAUCAUACACGUCAUAUACUAAUCAGCAAGGAUCACAUUUCAUUCGACGGUCCAACUAAUUUUCUUUAUCUAUUGGAUAACAUUAAAUUCGUUUUGGAUAAUGUUCUAAUUAGAAUUAAUUUGUUUCAUGUGAUGCAACAUGGUAUUUUUCUCAUAACGUGACUACAAAUUUUUCUUUACAGAUAUAAAGUUUGAAUUCACAAAUAGUUAUGGUUUUCAACCACUAAAUAAUCUGGCUUUUCAAGAAACAGCAUUAACAGUAAGCAUUAGUUACGUGGCAUGCUUAUCCAUAUGUUUUAUUUGAAAGUUUUUUCUAACGUUCACAUAUACAAAUCCGGGACGUAAAGUGGGAUCUUGUUUGACGCGGGAGAGCGAAUUUGGAGGAAAAAAGUAAAGAGGAAUAAAGUGAUUAUUUAAAACAAAGGGGGCUAAAGGUAAUUAAAAAAAGCUGGGCUCGUUCUUUUCCCAGAUUCGCGGCACUUCUGUGCUGUGACUAACAUUUGCUUAUGUUUUAUCAUAGUCCACACGGUCUUUCUUCAUUUCUAACCAAACUCACGGCGAAGUUUUCAAGUUACAUAUUUGUCAAAUAUCUUAAAACUAACAUCUAUGGUAACUGCUGGAAUAACGAUUAUGAAAGGAACGAAUUAUACGUCGUAGUGAUGCGUGACAAAGACAAUAUAUUUCUUUGUAUGGUAGAAACUACAUUUGUAAAACAAAAGAGGGAAACAGAUGGUCCCGCGGAUUUUGUCAAGGGAAUAUAAAAGAACUUAUCAAAAGAAGAUCUAUACAGAAAUUAACUGAGUUAUGUUUAUUCGCAUUUUUUUUUUUUGGUCAAGUGUUUAUUCGCAUUUUUUAUUCAAUCUUUCCUCGUCAAGUGCAGAGCAAAUUUAAAUGAAUUUUAGGAUUAAUGGAAUUACAAUUAUAAAUUAGGUAGCGUUUGACAAAAUAAAUUAAUUUCAAGAAAAAAAAACUAUACAGCAUUUAAAAAAUAAAAUAAUCUUUGACCAAAAAAAAAAAAAUAAAAUAAUCACGUCACCCCCCCCCCCCCCCCCCCCCCCACAAAGGAGAACAUAUCAGUUAUAUUUUCAUUUCAAAAAUGGUCUACCCAGUUGAAGGCAUAAUUAAUUUCCGAAAAGGAUAUUAAGUUAUUUGAGGGUUUUAAUUUUGAAGUAUAGUCAUUUGAAACUGACUUAUGUUUAAUUAAUACCAUAUUAAAUGUUCUAAGGAAAAUUAAUAAGGAGGAAACUUCAAUGAAUAUUGAAGACUAAUCUUUUGUAUAUAUAAAAAUAAUAAUUCAGAAAGAAAUCUAACCAAGAAAAAAGUUAUAGGAGAAAAAUAAGCAAAAAAAAAAAGAAGUCAAUGUCAACUAAAGAAAUGAUGGUCACAAGCGAGUGGCGCCCAUUGUGUUUGGUUGGUUUCACAAAUGCCGAAUUCCACACAAGGUUUACUCUCCAAGACUUGUUGGUCCAAUGGUCCCAUCGCUGCUUGACAUCACACACUAAACUAUCUAUCGUCUAUCGACGUUUUAACUAUGAAAAGUCGACGAAACUCCCUUCCACACUUGCACCGAAUCAAGGGCCAAUCUCAACACAACGACCAAAUGAAUAUAAUCGAUCGGAUGGAUAAUACAAUUUAUAAUUAUAAAAUCUAAAGUCUAUAUGUCUUUUUGGUUAAAGUAGACUUCUGUAUAUCGAGAAUAAAAUCUAGAUGUAUGUUUCAACUCGAGUGUCUACACUACAUUCGCAGACAACUGAUCUGAAGUGUUCUAUAUACGUGACAGAUUCACACUGUCAAUUUCCCAAGCUGGUAGAUUCUUUGAUCGACUAUGUAUAUAAGACGAAUGCAAAAAAAAUGUCGACGACAAAAGGGAAGCAAGCGAAGUUUCCAUGCAUGCCUUUUUGGCUUUUUCUCUUAGCUAUUAGUUACACGCAGCAUCAAUCAUCAAAUGAGUUUUUUUUUUUUUUCAAAUGAGUUGAUAAACUUGCGGGAUCAUGAGAUCUGAGGCAAAAAGAGCUAUAAUCCUGCGGGAUGUCUUGUAAUGUUUGCAAUUUCAAUAUAAAAAGUAAGUUAUUUAAUAUUAAAAAAAAGUUGAUAAACUUGCAAAUUAAAAGUGAAAAUAUAUUUUGUGAAAGUAUAGCGUAACCCGUAUUUUCCACGUUCAUACGAAUGCAACUAUCAUAUCCCCCACAUUUCAACUUCCAUUGAAAGUGACUUCAAUUUGAAAUUGCUUGUGUUAAUAGAAUUAUACUUGAAAUUAAAUAUAAGAGCGUUGACGGACGAAUCAUGUUCGUGCGUGCCGAACGGCUGAAACUAAUGGUGCCAUCAAAGCAAUUUAACAGCAAGACUUAGUUGGUCUCUCCUUCCAUUGACUUGACUUUUAUUCAUAAUUCUACUAAUUAUUUUAGAAGACAAAUCUUAGUAUGAUAGGGGGGAAAUAAUGCGUGCAUCAUACACACAGACAUACAAUAUAUGCAAUCAAAGAAAACAGUUGGAAAAUUUGGUACUAUCUAGGAGUAGUAACUAGUUGUUGACUUGUGGUCAUUCAUAAGGAAAUGAAGUAGUGACUAAUGACUAUUCGUAGUCGUGACAAAAAAAAAAAAAAAAAAAAGACUAUUCGUAGAAAUGUCGUGAAAACUAACCAAGUGACAAUGAAGACCAACCAAAAUCAGUAGUGAUCCGCUAAGGACGAAAUAAUUAGAUAGUAAGAAAAUUUAGUAGUCGCUUCUUCGAUUUAAUAAAACUAAACCUGCAAAUUUUUUUGUCUUUUUGUUGUUCUGAUCCUUUUAUAUAUUCUAGUUUGCUUCUUUACAGCCGACCCCCAAGAUAUAUGUUGUCACAUACUCACAUGCAACUGAAUACUUAAUCCAGAGAUAUUUACGAAAAGAAAGAAAUUAGUAUUGAAGUUCACAGAUAGGCAGAUAUGGAUUAUGUAAGGAUUAUUUAUUUUGAACAAUUAGUACUCGUUUAAUCAUGUCAGUAACAUUCAAAAACAGUUCCAAAAAUAGAGUUGAUUGCAGCGAAAUUUGUGUAUGGAAAAUAUUUAAUCGGCCGAAGCUCAGAAUUCAAUAUGUUGGAUAAAAUAAAAUUACGCCAAGGAAAAACAAGGCCUAGGCCCAAAUUCUAAUAAGAGGUUUAAUCUUUUUUGUGUUUGAAACACAAUAGGUUUAACUUAUCCUCUAUGAAAUGAACUGAUAUAUAAUAUGGAUAUUUGCAGGAAUAAAAAUUCAGCAUUUUGUCCUUUUGGUGUAAAACUCUUUUCGUCAAUUUUCUCUCUUUUUUAUCCAUUCCAUUUUUAAAAUUUAACGAAAUAAAUAGUUUUAUAACUCACAAUUUAUAAAAAAAAUUAAGCAGUAAAAUACUCAUAUAUACAAAUUGGUAUUUUUUUUGGUUGAAAAUUUUGAUAAAUUAAAAUUUUAAAUUAUGUUCUACAAAAAAUAAAUUUCAUAUUCUACGAAAAAUUGGUUAGUAGAACAAACAAUUAGGUUUCAAAAAUUGGUUAGUAGAACAAAAAUUGCACUUUAUGUGUCAAGCUAGCAUUUCAAAAGACUAUCAUCUCUCUACCUAACAACAAUUUACAGACAGACCAAACAAAGCUCCCUAGUAAAAAAAACUAAAGAAGUUUAACUUCAACCAGUUCUUCAACUAAAGCUCUUGAAGAAACUGGAUCGUGUGAUUGCAUGUGGUGUCGAAUAUUUUCACUAGGUUUCCCACAACAAGAAAGGGGAAAGACCUGAUCCUGAAAUCCAAAUUGUCAGAUAUUCAUUUGAAAAGAGCCACUGAGAUUUUAGAAGCUUUCUUUUCGCAGGAUAUCCUGGAAAGCCGGGUUUUUUUCUUCAAUGGAACUUCGGUCUCAUUUCCCAAAUGAUCAACCUUGUUCCGGAAAAACAGAGUUUUCCUUGGUGUUAUGUAUUCAAAAUGUGAUUUCUUCGCAAUCAAUGUCUGCAUGAAUAAACAAAUUAUCAGAAUCAUUUUGUUCAGUCGCAAGAUUUCAAAAGAGUCUCUAGCAAAUGAUGCUAUCUACUUACAGCUUCACGUAUAGUCUUUGACACAUUAAACAACUGCUUUAAAUCUCCAUGCUCCACUCCACAUAUAAUCCUUAUCUGCAAAUAAUCCAAUAAAAGUUUUCAGUAACUUCAGUCUCACCCAAUAAUUUUUUUUCUCUGGCCAAAAGUAUAAGCAUUUCACAGGGGAAACUGAAAAUUAUCCAUUUUCAGUAUUGACUUUGUUCCUAGAGACGAAAUAAUUCAAGAUUUAUCUCUAUGUGAGUAAUCAUCAGAACAAGAACACAAAAAAACAACUAAUCCAAAUAACCCAUAUAUAAUUAAAAAAAACCUAUUAUAACGGGUUUGUGAGAUUUGUUUAAAAGAAGACAAACCAGGAUAUCUUGAGGAAGAGAUUCAAGCUCUCGAUUCUUGCCAAUGGGAAUCAAAACCCUCUUCCUCCCAAAUCCUUUCUUAUACUUAUCACAGUCUAACCCUAACCCUAGUCCACCAUCACCAACUACUUUUCGAUUUGUGUUUGAUGAUGAUUUCACGGCACCUAAUCCCUUCUUCCUCAAUGCCAUGUCGCUAAUAUUAUCAAAAUCCCACGUUCCUGUAUCAGGAAAACAUGUAACAAAAUAUAAUGUUUCAGAUGUAGUAACCAAUGGACCCAAGAACAGUGGGAAAGUAGAGAGAAAACAAUGGAUGUUGGGGAAUAAAGAAAACAUAUGAAGUGAAUAUAGGAACAAGAAGUAUUUAGAAGAAAAAUAAUUUCAAAACUUCAGUUAAACUGUAGUUAUCUACUUCCUCAAAUAUCUCAAAGCUGUUGCACAAAA